GACGAACGCUGGCGGCGUGCCUAAUACAUGCAAGUUGAGCGCUGAAGGUUGGUACUUGUACCGACUGGAUGAGCAGCGAACGGGUGAGUAACGCGUGGGGAAUCUGCCUUUGAGCGGGGGACAACAUUGGGAAACGAAUGCUAAUACCGCAUAAAAACUUGAAACACAAGGUUUAAGUUUGAAAGAUGCAAUUGCAUCACUUAAAGAUGAUACCGCGUUGUAUUAGCUAGUUGGUAAGGUAAAGGCCUACCAAGGCGAUGAUACAUAGCCGACCUGAGAGGGGGACCGCCCACUUUGGACUGGGACCCCGCCCCAAACCCCUCGGGAAGCAGCCGUAGGGGAACUUCGGCCAUGGACGGAAGUCUGGACGAGCCACGCCGGGUGAGUGGAGAAGGUUUUCCGGUCCUUAAACUCCGUUGGUAGGGAAGAACGUUGGUGGGAGUGGAAAGCUCAUCAAGUGACGGUAACUACCCAGAAAGGGACGGCUAACUACGUG
rnacentral:rRNA from 1 species